UCUCAUCCAAACAGUGCGGACAACCUUUAGUUCUAUGUGAAACUCAGGGUGGGAAACUGAGCACAGCUGUGCUGAGCAACCCGUCUGCCGGUGCCUGGACACGACACGGCUGCACCUUUGCUGGGCACAAGAAAGGACCAAAACAGCCGAACAAAGAACCACAGAAAAUGGUGAGCUUGGGGAUAGCAGUACAGCUGGAUCGGUUUUCAUCAUGCAGAGCGCUGCCAGCAGGUUACAGUGAGCUGAGCCUGGGAGGGCUGGGUGCCCGCAGGGGCACUUCGAGAAUGAAAAGCGCGUGGAUAAUCCAGGCGGUGAUUGCUUCCUUCCUCCGGCUUUCGGUGGAAUGUCGAGCUGUGUCCCAGCGAGAGUCACUCGAGCACAAGGUAAAAACCCGCACAAAGCAGGAUCACAUGAAGGAGGAUGGGGAAACCAGCCAGGCCCUCAACAAUGAAAUUCCGAAUAACGUCCUUGAGGCGGUUUUACUAUUGUGAGCACUGCCACGGACCCACAUGCAGCUGCAGGAAACAUGGAUUUUGGUUUGUUUCUCAUCCCAUGGAUUGGCGUCCAGGCCCCGCAACCAGCAAGUAUGAUCUCUUACUGAAUAGGAGCAGAGCCGCAGGAGAGGAAAGAUUAAGGGUAUCAAAGGAAUACAUUUUUCAUUUCACUCCUUUCUUAUUACAGUAGAUUAAAAGGAGAAAAAAAAAGAGUUUUGUUCAACAUUCAAUUUUGCAGAGAAUUAAAUAAGCCAAAAACAUUGUUCAGAAUUAGAG
ensembl:lncRNA